rnacentral:rRNA from 1 species
GGGGGGGGGGGGGGGGGGGGGGGGGGGGGGGGGAGGGGGGGGGGGGGGGGGGGGGGGUUUUUAGAGUUGGGCCAGGCUCAGGACGAACGCUGGCGGCGUGCCUAAUACAUGCAAGUUGAGCGCUGAAGGUUGGUACUUGUACCGACUGGAUGAGCAGCGAACGGGUGAGUAACGCGUGGGGAAUCUGCCUUUGAGCGGGGGACAACAUUUGGAAACGAAUGCUAAUACCGCAUAAAAACUUUAAACACAAGUUUUAAGUUUGAAAGAUGCAAUUGCAUCACUCAAAGAUGAUCCCGCGUUGUAUUAGCUAGUUGGUGAGGUAAAGGCUCACCAAGGCGAUGAUACAUAGCCGACCUGAGAGGGUGAUCGGCCACAUUGGGACUGAGACACGGCCCAAACUCCUACGGGAGGCAGCAGUAGGGAAUCUUCGGCAAUGGACGAAAGUCUGACCGAGCAACGCCGCGUGAGUGAAGAAGGUUUUCGGAUCGUAAAACUCUGUUGGUAGAGAAGAACGUUGGUGAGAGUGGAAAGCUCAUCAAGUGACGGUAACUACCCAGAAAGGGACGGCUAACUACGUGCCAGCAGCCGCGGUAAUACGUAGGUCCCGAGCGUUGUCCGGAUUUAUUGGGCGUAAAGCGAGCGCAGGUGGUUUAUUAAGUCUGGUGUAAAAGGCAGUGGCUCAACCAUUGUAUGCAUUGGAAACUGGUAGACUUGAGUGCAGGAGAGGAGAGUGGAAUUCCAUGUGUAGCGGUGAAAUGCGUAGAUAUAUGGAGGAACACCGGUGGCGAAAGCGGCUCUCUGGCCUGUAACUGACACUGAGGCUGGAAAAGACGGUU